rnacentral:tRNA from 1 species
AGCUGAUAAACUAAUAAAUUAGGCUUAUAUUUCGGCUAUAAAUUUUGUGGCUAUGGGCCUCUAUUAGCUU